rnacentral:rRNA from 1 species
CAGCCGCCGCGGUAAUACGAAGGGGGCUAGCGUUGCUCGGAAUGACUGGGCGUAAAGGGCGCGUAGGCGGAUGGCACAGUCAGAUGUGAAAUUCCCGGGCUUAACCUGGGGGCUGCAUUUGAUACGUGUUGUCUAGAGUGAGGAAGAGGGUUGUGGAAUUCCCAGUGUAGAGGUGAAAUUCGUAGAUAUUGGGAAGAACACCGGUGGCGAAGGCGGCAACCUGGUCCUUGACUGACGCUGAGGCGCGAAAGCGUGGGGAGCAAACAGGAUUAGAUACCCCCGUAGUCCCUGUCUCUUAUAC